rnacentral:lncRNA from 1 species
GUAUGCAUGUGUGCAGGUGUGUGCACAACCAUGUGCAUGUAUGACUGCGUGCAUGCACAUGCGCGGCACAGUUUGUAUAUACAUAUAUAGAUGUGUGCAUGCAGAAUGUGUUGUGCACAUGUGCAUAUGUGCAUGCACACAUGUGGGUGGAUGUGCAUGUGGGAGUGUACACACGUGUGGGUGGGUGCCCAUGUGUGUGCAUGCACACGUGUGUGUGGGUGUGCGUGUGUGCACGUGUGUGUCCUUGCAUGCAUGCACAUGCGUGUGGGUGGGCGUGCAUGUGUGUUCGUGUGUGCACACGUGUGGGCGUGUGUGCGUGUGUGCGUGCGCACACGUGUGGGUGGGUGUUCCGUGUGUGUGCACACGUGCGUGUGGUGGGGUGCACACGUGUGCGAGCAGGUGUUAAGUCCAUCCAGUCCAGAGUGGAGUGGGGCUUGGGCUCUGUUGCUGUGUCACCGGCGAGGCACAGCUGGGCAGGUCCCUGUGGCACAGCCUUGCUCCAGGCUGUCUCCUGCUCCUGCUCCAGUUCGGCUCCAGGCCCUCCUCCUGCAGUGGGACAUCAGGGCAUCUCCCCCUGUGCUCUGGCCUCCCCCAGAACCAGGGUGCUGGUGCCGGCCAGCCUGGUACCUGGUGGGGGGCAGCAAUUCUGUUUUCUGUGCCCCGUACUUCCAUUUCUGGGGGCUCCUGUGCUCUGUCCUCCAGCUGCAGAGGCUUUUCCCCUCCGGGCCCGGGGUGCAGCGCUGGCUGUCCUUCCCCCAGAGACGCCGGGCCUUUGUUUCCUGGCAGAAGAGUGGAGGCAGGUGUCCCGCCUGGGCGCACGUGCCCUGCUGAGAUGCGCCUCCCGUCUUUCCCCCGAGUGCCUGCCGGGUCACAGAGAAGGGUGUGAGAGCGGUGCGUGCUCCCCUUCGUGCACAGCGGCCCGGGCUCCGGCUCUCCCGCCAGCCUGUGCCCGGCGUCUCCGUCACCAGUCUCCCGCUGCCUUCUUCACACCCGCAGGGGCUCCGUUUUCCUCCUGCGCCC